rnacentral:rRNA from 1 species
UGGGGAAUAUUGGGCAAUGGAGGCAACUCUGACCCAGCAACGCCGCGUGAAGGAUGAAGGUUUUCGGAUUGUAAACUUCUGUCGUGAGGGACGAAGAAUGACUGUACCUCAUAAGAAAGCCACGGCAAACUACGUGCCAGCAGCCGCGGUAAUACGUAGGUGGCAAGCGUUGUCCGGAAUUACUGGGCGUAAAGGGAGUGUAGGCGGCGCGAUAAGUUAUAUGUGAAAUACCGCGGCUCAACUGCGGAACUGCAUAUAAAACUGUCGUGCUUAGAGUGUGGGAGAGGUAAGUGGAAUUCCUAGUGUAGCGGUGGAAUGCGUAGAUAUUAGGAGGAACACCAGUGGCGAAGGCGGCUUACUGGACCAUAACUGACGCUGAGGCUCGAAAGCGUGGGGAGCAAACA